rnacentral:rRNA from 1 species
CAGCGGCCACGGUAAUACGGGGGGGGCAAGUGUUAUUCGGAAUGACUGGGCGUAAAGGGCACGUAGGCGGUGAAAAGGGUGGAAAGUGAAAGUCGCCAAAACACUGGCGGGGUGCUUUCUUGACCAUUUCACUUGAGUGAGAUAGGGGAGAGUGGAAUUUCGUGUGGAGGGAUCAAAUCCUAAGAUAUACGAAGGAACGCCAACCGCGAAGGCAGCUCUCUGGGUCCCCACUGACGCUGGGGUGCGAAAGCAUGGGGAGCAAACAGGAUCAGAUACCCCCGUAGUCCCUGUCUCUUAUACC